rnacentral:rRNA from 1 species
AGUGAACGCUGGCGGUAGGCCUAACACAUGCAAGUCGAACGGCAGCACAGUAAGAGCUUGCUCUUACGGGUGGCGAGUGGCGGACGGGUGAGGAAUACAUCGGAAUCUACUUUUUCGUGGGGGAUAACGUAGGGAAACUUACGCUAAUAUCGCAUACGACCUACGGGUGAAAGCAGGGGAUCUUCGGACCUUGCGCGAUUGAAUGAGCCGAUGUCGGAUUAGCUAGUUGGCGGGGUAAAGGCCCACCAAGGCGACGAUCCGUAGCUGGUCUGAGAGGAUGAUAAGCCACACGGGAAGUGAGACACGGUCCAGACGACUAAGGGAGGCAGCAGUGGGGAAUAUUGGACAAUGGGCGCAAGCCUGAUCCAGCCAUACCGCGUGGGUGAAGAAGGCCUUCGGGUUGUAAAGCCCUUUUGUUGGGAAAGAAAAGCAGCAGGUUAAUACCCCGCUGUUCUGACGGUACCCAAAGAAUAAGCACCGGCUAACUUCGUG